rnacentral:lncRNA from 1 species
CAGACCAGUAGCAAAGGGGGCCGGCCAAUAAUGGAUUGGAAUCUCUUAAACUUGAGCCCUUCGGGACAUCUGUAGGUCAGCUCUUGUUGGUGAAUUGAGUACAGCGGAAGCACCUGCACUUUGGAAAUAACUCAAGAUUAUGUGUAUCAAAAGAAGUCAAGCAGCAAAGUUUCUCACCCAUAAACAAAUAAACAGAAAUACUUUUUGGAGUAUUGACUGCAUCAGCAUACGCCAUGGACACAUCCAGAGAACCUAGUAAUACAGUGUGACACUGUGUGUUGGUACUUCCAGGAAGCACGGUGGUGCUACGAGGGGAGGCAGACCCAGUUGUGCACCUUGACCUUGGAAUAUCUGCCUGCAAGUUUACUUUCCAACCAAGCCAAAAAUCAACAACAGCUUCAACAGCAGCAACAACAAUGACACGUAGCUUCUCAAAGGAAAUAUAACCAUCUGCAUUCCACAGAGGAGCUUUCAGGGGCUUCAAAAUUUCAGACCUCCAAAUUUCGUCUGGGCCCUCAGUAUGGUGUCCAGUUUCCUAUUUUCAUGCUUUAAACCAAAAUGUGCCAAUGAACAAUUCCAAAGAACAAAAAGUAGUCUUUCCUAGACUAAUUAAGUGGAAAACGUGGAAAAAAAGGCACUCAUGCAUGAGAAAGAAAAAGAGAGAGAGGAGAUAGAAAAUUCAGCUAAUAGAAAAGACCUUCUUGAAAUUUAAUAGAAAAUAUGCAAUAACAAA